AUACGUAGGGGGCUAGCGUUGUCCGGAAUCAUUGGGCGUAAAGCGCGCGUAGGCGGAUCUUUAAGUCAGGGGUGAAAUCCCGAGGCUCAACCUCGGAACUGCCUUUGAUACUGGGGAUCUCGAGUCCGGGAGAGGUGAGUGGAACUGCGAGUGUAGAGGUGAAAUUCGUAGAUAUUCGCAAGAACACCAGUGGCGAAGGCGGCUCACUGGCCCGGAACUGACGCUGAGGUGCGAAAGCGUGGGGAGCAAACGG
rnacentral:rRNA from 1 species